AGAGUUUGAUCAUGGCUCAGGACGAACGCUGGCGGCGUGCCUAACACAUGCAAGUCGAGCGGAGAAUGCGAGAUGUUUACAUUGAGCAUUCUUAGCGGCGGACGGGUGAGUAACACGUGGGUAACCUGCCUCAGAGUGGGGGAUAGCCUUUCGAAAGGAAGAUUAAUACCGCAUAAACUUGUAGCAUCGCAUGGUGCAGCAAGAAAAGGAGCAAUCCGCUCUGAGAUGGACCCGCGGCGCAUUAGCUAGUUGGUGAGGUAACGGCUCACCAAGGCCACGAUGCGUAGCCGACCUGAGAGGGUGAUCGGCCACAUUGGAACUGAGACACGGUCCAGACUCCUACGGGAGGCAGCAGUGGGGAAUAUUGCACAAUGGGCGAAACCCUGAUGCAGCAACGCCGCGUGAGUGAUGAAGGCUUUCGAGUCGUAAAGCUCUUUGAUCAGGGAUGAUAAUGACAGUACCUGAAAAACAAGCCACGGCUAACUACGUGCCAGCAGCCGCGGUAAUACGUAGGUGGCGAGCGUUGUCCGGAAUUACUGGGCGUAAAGGAUGCGUAGGUGGAUAUUUAAGUGGGAUGUGAAAUCCCCGGGCUCAACCCGGGAACUGCAUUCCAAACUGGAUAUCUAGAGUGCAGGAGAGGAAAGCGGAAUUCCUAGUGUAGCGGUGAAAUGCGUAGAUAUUAGGAGGAACACCAGUGGCGAAGGCGGCUUUCUGGACUGUAACUGACACUGAGACAUGAAAGCGUGGGUAGCAAACAGGAUUAGAUACCCUGGUAGUCCACGCCGUAAACGAUGGGUACUAGGUGUAGGAGGUAUCGACCCCUUCUGU
rnacentral:rRNA from 1 species